rnacentral:rRNA from 2 species
UAAGUCAGCCACGAAUAGGCUAUCCCAACUAACGGCGGGAAAGACUCCACGGAGGGUGUAAGACCCGUGUGGGCGAGUGUUAAAGCUGUGUGGGCUCGGCCUUUUUUCCCUGAGAGUCGCGUUGCUUGAGCAUGCAGCGCUAAGCAGGUCGUAAACUCGAUCUAAGGCUAAAUAUCUCCACAGAACCGAUAGCGAACAAGUACCGUGAGGGAAAGUUGAAAAGCACUCUGGAGAGAGAGUCAAAAGACCGUGAAACCGCUCAGAGUAUAAGCCCAUGGCAGCUUGGAAGGCAUAUCGCUAGCGGGGCAUCGCACUUCCUUCACGGGGAGUCGGUGUUACCUUGCUUCUGUUGUGGCUCGUUAUGGUAGGGGGGUCAAGUCCACAUCCCGCCGUCGUGUGGGGAGUUCUUGGGCGUGUCGUUGCUUUGCGGUUGACUUCGGUUGGCCGUAGGGCUCUUCGCGCUUGGGGCUUCUUUAGACACGGACGUUCAGACUCAGAGGCAAGAUGCGAUAAACUGCCCACCACGGCACGUUGUGAGGUCACCCUCAGGCUCAGCUUUCGAUUGUGGUCCUUGACGCCGAGCAAGCAUAAUGCGUGUCGCAGAUGUUCCUAACCUGACAACACUUGUCGGACAGUGGAAUGACACGCGCUCAAAAGUCAGGACCGGGCGAUGACAGAGUUCUGGUUUGAUCCUCUUGCGACGAGCCGGCUUCUGGCCGAGUUCCGAUGCUCAGGUCUCCCGCAUGUGCCGCGGGAGAUCGCCUUGACGGUCUGGA